AGAUGCAUGUGUGCCCUUAACCAAGUGAAGUGACCGUCGAAGAGGUUUGUCUAUCAGACUUGAUUCCAUGGCAUAGUACUGAUGAACCUUGUGGGUUUCAUAUACUCGGUGGUAAUUUUCAGGCGGAAUAUUUGAAGGGUUGCACGAAAGGCCAGUUGAGUCUGGUUUGUCGCCCACCUACAUUAGGCACACAUACACCCAGUCAUCUGACUUGGUUGGGAGUCGUUUCAGUUGGGAGUCAAAUUGACUCACGCAAACAACCGACAGUCAACGGGCAACAUCUUUCAACUCAUCCCACGACAAAAAGAGCAAAAGAGCACUGCAUUUUGAGGGUCACGACUCGCUCCAACAACGAAUGGGACUGAUUCAGAAGUUGACGUCAUGAUCCAAGGCUAAGCUCACCUUUGCGUCGAUACUAUCCCCGUAUAUCGCUUUAGAAUGGUCCUCCCCAAAGCUCCAAGAACAUGUUGCACAAUCCGACUCCGGGCCUAGUGUUCUUGGCCAUGGUGCUCAUGGCCUCGUUGGCCUCAAGUAGGCCCCAAUACCCGCAACCCGAUUGGAAUUGGGAGGCUGUGAUCUUGUCACGAAACGGACCCAGUACCUCCACCACACCCCGGCCCACACGAUGGACCACCACCACACUCCGGUCUUUCGAAGGACCCGCCAUCAUUGGCAUUGGCAAGGCCACCGUGGAACGAGAGAAUUUGGUGCCACAACGGAACAAGCUCCAACCUCUGUACCAGGUGGAUUCGAGUUCUGGAUCCCGAUUGACAGGGAACAACGACUCGAUAGUGUUCUCGCUGAUUAUGUCAGUCUUGAGCGUAAUUGCGUGCUUAUGAGUGGAAAGAUACAGUAUUAAAUAACCAACAGCCGGACAACCGGAUUGAAUGUGUGCAGUGCGAAAAAAUGAAACUUGAUCCACCCGAAGACGCUAGGGAGAGAGUGACAACUGUGAUGACCUUACUCCGCUG